rnacentral:lncRNA from 1 species
UUAAUACUUAUAGUUUAAAAUGGGAUGAAUUAUUGUUACUGUGACUAGGAAGUUCACAGCUGAAGUUGUAACAACUGACUGAACUGUUGUUGGGCAUAACUGAAGAGCUUUAGCUGUUAAAGUGAGCAUCAGUGAAUUAAAGAUUAAGAAAGAUGAAAAUACGUCAAUUACGUAAGACGGUGGAAUGUAUGAAUCCAAGAAACGCACUAAAACUUGAGGAUUUUCGGGGGAAAGCGCAAAUUUGGCGCAUAUUCCAGCAAAUGCAGCACACACUCCAGCAAGAGAAGCAUUUGUCACACCACUUGGAGCCAUAACCGUUUGAAUCUUGAAGCUUUCCUAUACCUAUUAAUCGGGAAAUUGUAUUAAAUUACAUGAUUUUUGUAGGUCUUUUGUUAACAGUCAAAUGGAUUCGUCCAUUGAAUAGCUCGCUGGCCUCUGGUGUGCAGUUUCCGCAACCGUGCAGGAACGGUUAGUACUAAGAUUAGCUCCCUUGUCACUACCUAAACCACUCAAUUGAACAAAUUCAAGCUCUUUGAAAAUCUUGAUCCAUUUGGCAUUUGCCAUCCAAGAAAAUACGUAAAAUUUUGAAGAAAAUUCGGAAGUCAGGAUCAUUAUACUAAAAAGUCUAAUCGUGAAACCUUUAUGCAAUAGAUGCCGCUAAAUGUCUUUCCCGUUGGCUUAGACGAGGUGUACUGUAUUAAAGUGGGAUGCGUUUAAGAAAAAGAAAAGUGGGAUCAAUACUCACUACUUACUUGGCUUUUUAUAAUAUUAUGAAGCCAAAGUUGAAUUAUUGGAACUAACCUCCCGCAAUAUAGGAUUUAAAAAUGAGUUUUUUACCUUGUCAACCAAGGACGAAUUCUCAUUUUUGCACUGGAAAAUAAAAAAAACAUCCCAAUUGGCAGUGAAAAAAAAAAAAAAAACGAAACAAAAACACCAGGGCCACACAGAAAUCUUUCAUCUUCAUACCUUUGGCCCACAAUGCGACGGUUGGCAAAUAUUGAUCUGGUCGCAGUGUCCGCCAGUCGACGUGACUUUUUUUUUUUUUUUUUUCCCCAUUACAUAAAAGCCUAUCUACCAGGUAUGUACAGAAUCAUCAAGUUUACAAUGCUUCAGAGCUUAAGCGAAAAAACAAGGUACGUCACAAGUGACAUCGAGUCCUGUUUGUCUUCCGAUUUUUAUCUUUAUUAUACAUUAGACCGUCGUACGAAUACCGUGCCAAAAGUACUAGGGCAAAACAAAAAAGGAAGAAGUUUUGACCCCGUCAUAUGAUUGCCCUGAAGCUAUUUUCUUUUUCUGAUUAAUUUGUUUGUUCACAAACUCAUUUCUCUCUUUUUAAAGAUUUUUCAGUUGUUUAGACCCGCUCGUGCUUGCGGCCAUUGGGUCACUACGUAUACGUUUAAAGAAGGACCUUUGAUAUGGACGACUGUUUGCUGUUGCUACGCCACAGCACUGUCGCGCAUAAUAAUGGGUUGAUUCAAAAUGCAUAAACGAGAAAGCAGUUCAUGCAAAACCCGUCCAGUAUUUACAUUUCCGAAAUUGGCUGGUUCAACAUGAAAAUCUGUUUGGCCUUGUACCAGAAUUUCAAGUGUGAAAAAGACCGAUUCCGUACAGAUUUUAAUAAGCAAUCAAAAACUAGUUUAAAACUCGUAUAGAAUGCAAUUCGUUUCAGUUUAUGAUAGGCCUUUAUGUCUGCCUUUCUUGUUGAUACUAUUAUAAGUUUUUUGUAUUUAUUUUAUUGCGCGUUUACAAAGGCUAUUCAUUCGUCGUGACGUAGCAUACUGUACAUUGAUAAUGACCAAUGGUAUAUGCAUGUAUAAUUAUUCAUAUUUAUUGACGGAAUUGGUACGUUAUAGCGGUCACAUUCUUUAAUAGGCCUGUUGUAUUGCGAGUCCAUGUUUCUCGUUUCCAAAAGAAAUGUUCAGUCCUGGAAAAAAGUAGCAAGCGAAAAAUGUGAUACUUUUUCUUGCUGGAAACAAGAGUCUUGUAAGUUAACAAAACCCAACUUUUCAGAUUCCAUGUAUGUUUACAAAUUCAAAGAAAGAAAGGAAAAAAUUGAUCUCACUGGCUACGGCUAUGUUGCUAGCACGACUAUGUAUCGAUUUGGCAACCGGAGACGUGUUGUCCGGUCGUAUACGGAUUUCCAGUGUUAGAUUCAAAUUUCGUUUUCCGGCAGACUGGACACAUAUUUUUUAAUUUUUAAAACGACACGUAUGAUCCGAAAUAAUCCUGACUUUUUUUUACUCUUGUGCUCUUGAUGAUUCUCAGAAGAAAAUUAUGGUCUUCUUUAGCGUGGGUAAAUUCUGCGGAAAAGGGGGAGCGUUACGGUGUUUAUUUUUCAUAUGUUCCGGUCUGUAGCAGCUUCCGGACAUGGCUUUUUAACUUAUGUUUCCUUGUCUGGCAAUUCUUCGUAAUUGGUCAAUGAUGCAGCACAAUUUUUAAGAAAUCGACAAAUCAUCAUGUCCAAUAGGAUACACACCAUUCUGAAAGCAGCAAGAAUUACCGAUCGAUCAAUCAGCUAUUUGUCUUAGGUAUAAUCAAAUGAAAAGACCGCCUUCAAACCUAUUAUUUUUUUACUAUUAUAAAGAUUGACUUUCUCUUAUUAAAACAUAUUCGAAAUAGAAGAAAAUAAGGGUGCAGCUGGUUGUCUAUAAUAUACUGUGUAUAUAAUAUUUUUUUCUUAUUUU